CCAUUACAAUGGCAGACAACUCUGCUUCUGAUGCAGGUAAUAACUUGGGAGUACUGAUCAUGAUAACACUUGUCAGAUAUCCAUUGCUCAAACCGAGCAAAAAAGUCAGAACAAUCACGGGCAGUUCGGUUUUCAGCCACCUUGGGCCAUGGAUGCAGGCCAUGAACAGUGGAUAAAAUAGAAGCCUGCUGAUGCAAAACCAUGUUGCUUUUUUUAUGUUUUUCAAGAUGUAUAUUGCAGUUAGAGAUUUUCCAACUAAGUCUGCAAUGUUGUAUAUUGUGAUCAGUAGAAUAGGAUACCAAUCUUGAAGCAGUUUUGAUUCCAGGUCCUCGGCUAUGAAUCCUGGAAAAAUUGAUAGCGUAACGACAUAAGUUAUGAAAAUUCCGAAUGCAGGCCACCGAAUUUUACCCACCACCAUCCAGAACUUAGAUUUUGAACAUGGAGGUUCAUCUAGAAGAUCUCUGUAAUAAUGCUGCAUCACUGGCAGCUUGCACAACAAGUUACACGACACUAUGCAGCAAAAGAGGAUCGAAGCACCAACGAUGAAGUACAAAUGCGCGCUCUUUUGUAGGCCCUUUGGUGAUUGUGAAAGUGAGGCCUUUGUAAUGAUCCUCAAGAUUGAAACAAGAACACCUGUCACCAUCAACAGUCAGGUACAUGUCAAUAAUUCUUUAACUUCAUGGAAUUCAGAGCAGCAAAAUAAGCUUCAAUUUAUGGUUCAAAGUUGGUCAGGACAAGCAUGUUAGGUAUUGAUUUUUGUACUAGGAUAUGAUUGUUUAUUGAAUCAAUUGAGGACUGAAUCCUUUUGAGAUUGUUUGUUUAGUUUAACAAGGCAGGAAAUUAUAUGUGGUUUUCAAUUUAAUGCUAUACACCAAUACCUAGUUGCCACAUCAAUAAAGAUCAUUAAAAUAUUAAAACACUUUACAGCCAUCCCAUAUUAAUUCUAUACUUAUUCAUGCAGUUGAAUGGAGAAAGUACUUCUUUUGUUUCCCUUUCAGGUAACUGAAUGCACAUGCUUUCUAGUUGCUAGAUCAUGUCUGGCACUUUCUAUUGGUGUCCACAAUUUCACAAUAUCCGUUCAAGGGAAAAAGGAGAAAUAUAGUUAACUUGAAGGUUUGUCCAUAAACAAUACCUGAAGAAGCAGUCC
rnacentral:lncRNA from 1 species